CGCGCAGGCGGUUUGGUAAGUUAGGCAUGAAAGCUCCCUGGCUAAACCGGGAGAGGCUGUCUGAUACUGCCAGGCUAGAGUACGGUAGAGGGGUGUAGAAUUCCGCGUGUAGUGGUGAAAUGCGUAGAUAUGCGGAGGAAUACCAGUGGCGAAGGCGGCACCCUGGACCGAAACUGACGCUGAGGCGCGAAAGCAUGGGUAGCGAACG
rnacentral:rRNA from 1 species